AGAGUUUGAUCAUGGCUCAGAGCGAACGCUGGCGGCGUGCUUAACACAUGCAAGUCGAGUGCGCGCCCGUAGCAAUACGGGUGGCGCACGGCGCACGGGUGCGUAACACGUGGGUAACCUGCCCUUUGGUGGGGAAUAACCCCGCGAAAGCGGGGCUAAUUCCGCAUAAGAUCCGCAAGGAUGAAAGCCGUAAGGCGUCGAAGGAGGGGCCUGCGCACGAUUAGCUAGUUGGUAGGGUAACGGCCUACCAAGGCUUUGAUCGUUAGCUGGUCUGAGAGGAUGGCCAGCCACACUGGAACUGAGACACGGUCCAGACUCCUACGGGAGGCAGCAGUGGGGAAUCUUGCACAAUGGGCGAAAGCCUGAUGCAGCGACGCCGCGUGGGGGAUGAAGCUUCUCGGAGUGUAAACCCCUUUCGACCCGGACGAAUACCUCGCAAGAGGGGUGACGGUACGGGUAUAAGAAGCCCCGGCUAACUACGUGCCAGCAGCCGCGGUAAGACGUGGGGGGCCAGCGUUGCUCGGAAUUACUGGGUGUAAAGGGUCAGUAGGCGGUGUGGCAAGUCGGGAGUGAAAUCUCUGGGCUUAACUCAGAGACUGCUUCCGAAACUGCUGUGCUUGAGUAUGGGAGAGGCGCGUGGAAUUGCAGGUGUAGCGGUGAAAUGCGUAGAUAUCUGCAGGAACACCCGUGGCGAAAGCGGCGCGCUGGACCAUAACUGACGCUGAAUGACGAAAGCUAGGGGAGCAAACAGGAUUAGAUACCCUGGUAGUCCUAGCCCUAAACGAUCAGGACUUGGGGUGCCACCCGUUCGGGUGUCGUCCCGGAGCUAACGCGUUAAGUCCUGCACCUGGGGAGUACGUCGCAGACUGAAACUCAAGGAAUUGACGGGGCCCGCACAGCGUGGAACAUGUGGUUCAUUCGACGCUACGCGAGGACCUUACCUGGGCUCGAAGCGCACUUGACAAGCUGUGGAAACACG
rnacentral:rRNA from 1 species